CCUCCCAGAAGAAGUUCCUCUUGUCAUGACUCAUAACACUCUCACAACACAUAACUACAGCUCAGAAAGCUGUGAGAAAACACUCUAAGCAAUCAUCCUCAUCCACGUUUCAAAUGGAGAAAUCACUCAUGGUCAUCAUUCUUAUACUGGCUACAGGUACUUCUGCACAAGAUAAAAUUGGUCCAAAAGAAGACGUGUUAGUAAAUAAAAAGGAGACAGAGUCAGUGACUCUACAGUGUGAAUAUGGCAACAAUGUGCGCCUUUACUGGUACAGGCAGUAUCCUAACAUGGCACCACAGUAUCUACUCUACAGAGGAGCUCGCUCAGUAAGUUCCUCUAAUGAACCUGAUCGUCGUUUUACUUCCAAAACAUCCCAGUCUUCCACUGAUCUCAAUAUUGAAGAUCUGACUCUGGCAGACACAGCUCUCUACUACUGUGCUCUGAGGCAAGGGUAG